rnacentral:rRNA from 1 species
UACGUAGGCAGCGAGCGUUGUUCGGAGUUACUGGGCGUAAAGGGCGUGUAGGCGGGAAGGCAAGUCGGGCGUGAAAGCCCCAGGCUCAACCUGGGAACUGCACUCGAAACUGCCUUUCUUGAGUGCCGGAGAGGAAAGCGGAAUUCCGUGGUGUAGAGGUGAAAUUCGUAGAUAAUCAGGAGGAACACCAGCGGCGAAGGCGGCAUCCUGGACUGGAUCCGUGACGCUCGACGGAGCGAAAGCGUGGGG